GCGAAUGGUGGAUGCCUUGACUGGUAAAGGCGAUGAAGGACGUACUAGACUGCGAUAAGCUACGGGGAGCUGUCAAGAAGCUUUGAUCCGUAGAUUUCCGAAUGGGGCAACCCAAUGUAUAGAGAUAUACAUUACCUAUAUAGGAGCGAACGAGGGGAAUUGAAACAUCUUAGUACCCUCAGGAAAAGAAAUCAAUAGAGAUUGCGUCAGUAGCGGCGAGCGAAAGCGCAAGAGGGCAAACCCAGUGCUUGCACUGGGGGUUGUAGGACUGCAAUGUGCAAGAGCUGAGUUUAGCAGAACAUUCUGGAAAGUAUAGCCAUAGAGGGUGAUAGUCCCGUAUGCGAAAAACAAAGCUUAGCUAGCAGUAUCCUGAGUAGGGCGGGACACGAGGAAUCCUGUCUGAAUCCGGGUCGACCACGAUCCAACCCUAAAUACUAAUACCAGAUCGAUAGUGCACAAGUACCGUGAGGGAAAGGUGAAAAGAACUGAGGUGAUCAGAGUGAAAUAGAACCUGAAACCAUUUGCUUACAAUCAUUCAGAGCACUAUGUAGCAAUACAGUGUGAUGGACUGCCUUUUGCAUAAUGAGCCUGCGAGUUGUGGUGUCUGGCAAGGUUAAGCAAACGCGAAGCCGUAGCGAAAGCGAGUCUGAAUAGGGCGCUUAGUCAGAUGCUGCAGACCCGAAACGAAGUGAUCUAUCCAUGAGCAAGUUGAAGCUAGUGUAAGAACUAGUGGAGGACUGAACCCAUAGGCGUUGAAAAGCCCCGGGAUGACUUGUGGAUAGGGGUGAAAGGCCAAUCAAACUUCGUGAUAGCUGGUUCUCUCCGAAAUAUAUUUAGGUAUAGCGUUGUGUCGUAAUAUAAGGGGGUAGAGCACUGAAUGGGCUAGGGCAUACACCAAUGUACCAAACCCUAUCAAACUCCGAAUACCUUAUAUGUAAUCACAGCAGUCAGGCGGCGAGUGAUAAAAUCCGUCGUCAAGAGGGAAACAACCCAGACUACCAGCUAAGGUCCCUAAAUCUUACUUAAGUGGAAAACGAUGUGAAGUUACUUAAACAACCAGGAGGUUGGCUUAGAAGCAGCCAUCCUUUAAAGAAAGCGUAAUAGCUCACUGGUCUAGUGAUUUUGCGCGGAAAAUAUAACGGGGCUAAAGUAAGUACCGAAGCUGUAGACUUGCACACAACUUAG
rnacentral:rRNA from 1 species